rnacentral:rRNA from 1 species
GAUGAACGCUGGCGGCGUGCUUAACACAUGCAAGUCGAGCGAUGAAGUUUCCUUCGGGAAACGGAUUAGCGGCGGACGGGUGAGUAACACGUGGGUAACCUGCCUCAUAGAGUGGAAUAGCCUUCCGAAAGGAAGAUUAAUACCGCAUAAUGUUGAAAGAUGGCAUCAUCAUUCAACCAAAGGAGCAAUCCGCUAUGAGAUGGACCCGCGGCGCAGUAGCUAGUUGGUGGGGUAACGGCCUACCAAGGCGACGAUGCGUAGCCGACCUGAGAGGGUGAUCGGCCACAUUGGGACUGAGACCCGGCCCAGACUCCUACGGGAGGCAGCAGUGGGGAAUAUUGCACAAUGGGGGAAACCCUGAUGCAGCAACGCCGCGUGAGUGAUGAAGGUUUUCGGAUCGUAAAGCUCUGUCUUUGGGGAAGAUAAUGACGGUACCCAAGGAGGAAGCCACGGCUAACUACGUGCCAGCCGCCGCCGUAA